AUUGAACGCUGGCGGCAGGCCUAACACAUGCAAGUCGAGCGAGCGGCGGACGGGUGAGUAAUGUCUGGGAAACUGCCUGAUGGAGGGGGAUAACUACUGGAAACGGUAGUUAAUACCGCAUACCAUCAGAGGUGCCCAGAUGGGAUUAGCUAGUAGGGGGGGUAACGGCUCACCUAGGCGACGAUCCCUAGCUGGUCUGAGAGGAUGACAGGGCACACUGGAACUGUGACACGGUCCAGAGGCCUAGGGUAGGAAGCAGGGGGGAAUAUGGCAAAAUGGGAGCAAGCCUGAUGCAGCCAUGCCGCGUGUGUGAAGAAGGGCUUCGGGUUGUAAAGCACUUUCAGCGGGGAGGCGUUACCCGCAGAAGAAGCACCGGCUAACUCCGUGCCAGCAGCCGCGGUAAUUC
rnacentral:rRNA from 1 species